UUGGGCGCUAAGUAGACAAAGUAGAAUAGGUCUGAGGGGCAGGAGCGCCGCGAAAUGGAGCGCCGCGAGGCGAGGCGGGGCGGGGCGGGUGGAGGACGAUGCGGGGAGCGCGGCGGCCGGCGGAGGACGGGGCGAGGCGGGGAGUGGUGCGCGGCGGCCGGAAGAGGACGGAGGGUUAGGGUAGAGCGCCGAAAGAAGCGGCAAGUGGCGAGGGGAGGUGGAUGACCAGCGCUGGAGCACCCUCCGUCUCCUACCCUCCCACGCCGCGACCGCAGGCUGAGGUCCUCGAGCUCUCCCGGCUAGACGCGCAGCCGCUGGAGCGCCCUCCGUACCGCACCGCACAACGCGAGCUCUGCUCGCCCGAGCUCAUUCCCCUAACCUCCCACCGCGGCCGCCCUAGCACCUGCCCCUACCUCACCCGCCCACGGCCGUUCUAGCUCCGGCCCCUACCUCUCCCGCCAGCCGCUCGACCGCCGACUCCUACCUUCUCCGCCGUGAUUAAGAGACGAUGGGCGUGGCGUGGUGCAGGGAUCGAAGGAGGAGAGACUAGCUUGGCUCAGGCAAAAUGUUUCCCUAGGCCGCUGAUCUCCCCUCGACGGUGGCCACUGCGACGGCCUCUUCGACCGCUCCAAGGAGGUCUUCACGCGGCUUCCUCAAGGUCUUGCUCGGGGCCAUAUCGCCGCUGGCCACCAUGGAAGCGCCGACCCAAGGUCUACCACUCGACGGACAACGAUGAUGGUAUAAUAUCAUGACCGACUGAUGCACUCCCAAAGUCAAAUAGAUAUUUACCGUGUUCGACAAGUAAGUCGGCCAUGAUAUUAAACGACGAAGAUGGUUUAGUGUUCUAGUCAAAUAGGUACGAGUACCUUAAAGCACACAUCCCGAUGCUAAUGUUUGAGGCAACUAAUAAGUGCGAGACCAGCUACGAGACAGCCGUCGGGUGAUUGGUCCGUUGAGAUAGCAACUCCUGGCACACAUGGCGUCCUCCUAGGGACUACGAAACAACGAGGGCACUGGAAGUUAAACAACACACCGACAGAUGUUUGCAUGUCAUCGAAGUAAGUUUAAGAAAAAUCUUUAACGAUCUGCUUAAAAAAACAUCUCGACUCUCUUUUCUACGUAUCUGUUAUCUUAAUACAAGUCCAAACGUUAUUAAGCAAGAUAAACGAACGUUUGUUUAACGUGUUCGGCAAGUAAACAACCUACUACAAACGUACAUAAAGAUCGUUCAAUAUUUUUGACUACCUUCUACGAAACACAUAAGAAAACACACAGAUAGUCUUGUCCGUACCACCCUCCCGCUACGAGACAACUGACGAAAAGAAUAUUAUAAUGUCUCCCUCCUAGCUUCACCUCUAACCAUGAAAGGGAAAGUCGCCGGUUUCUUUUCGUUGUGAAAAAGUACACUAAAGUCUACUUUGCUGGUCUCACACAUUUUAGACCUAGCGAUGUUUGUCCAGUUCUUAUUGAAGAGGUUCGAGAGUCUUCUCUUCGUUAUUACACUGAGGGUCCACGGAGAGACUCUCUUUUCGACCUCUACGAAACGGUCACCGUUUUGUUUCCCUUCAUUAACGAUGCCUGCGGUCGGUCCACAAGUACGAUAACCUAAUUACAAAAGACGAGAAUUAUUACGAAGGCAAAAAGAAGAAAAUCUUGGGAAGAAAACAUGAGAAUGUUUAUCGUCUACUUUCCUCUUCCUACUUCUUCAGUUCGAUAACCUCUCUAGUUAACUCCUCGAGUUUUAUUGAAAUCACAAGAGUUUUCAUCGAAAUAAAUCAAACUCACUUAAAACACCGGAUUCACAACAUCGAUAAGUAAAACGGUGCGUAAGACUUACAAUCAUGUGUGGGUACAACCAUGUCUUGAGGAUAACAAUACGGACAGUACUGUUGUUGAAAAGGUCUAAAAACACGUAUUUGUAUGUAUACACCUGAUUUAAGAAAACAAUGAACGAGUCGGUUAU
rnacentral:rRNA from 1 species